UGGCUAAUUGCUAUAAUCGACUUCUUAAA
rnacentral:piRNA from 1 species